rnacentral:tRNA from 2 species
GGAGUCGUGGCCGAGCGGCUGAAGGCACUCGUUUGCUAAAUGAGCAUACCCCCAAAAGGGUAUCGAGGGUUCGAACCCCUCCGACUCCGCCA